UACGUGAGGGGGCAAGCGUUGUCCGGAAUCAUUGGGCGUAAAGCGCGUGUAGGCGGCUCGAUAAGUCUGCUGUGAAAGUCCAGGGCUCAACCCUGGGAUGCCGGUGGAUACUGUCGAGCUCGAGUCCGGAAGAGGAGUGUGGAAUUCCUGGUGUAGCGGUGAAAUUCGUAGAUAUCGGGAGGAACACCAGUGGCGAAGGCGGCGAUCUGGGAAGAUACUGACGCUGAGGUGACGAAGCGUGGGGAGCAAACAGG
rnacentral:rRNA from 1 species